AAUAUGAAGGCCAGGCUGAAGACUUUGCCGGAUUAGCUGAGAGGUGGUGCAUGGCCGUCGUCAGUUCGUACUGUGAAGCAUCCUGUUAAGUCAGGCAACGAGCGAGACCCACGCCCACAGUUGCCAGCGUACUCUCUGGAGUGACGGGUACACUGUGGGGACCGCCGCUGCUAAAGCGGAGGAAGGAAUGGGCAACGGUAGGUCAGCAUGCCCCGAAUUAUCUGGGCUACACGCGGGCUACAAUGGGUGGGACAAUGGGUAUCGACACCGAAAGGUGAAGGCAAUCUCCUAAACCCAUCCGUAGUUCGGAUUGUGGGCUGCAACUCGCCCGCAUGAAGCUGGAAUCUGUAGUAAUCGUGUCUCAAAAUGGCACGGUGAAUAUGUCCCUGCUCCUU
rnacentral:rRNA from 1 species